ACUUUUAAAGGAUGGUAGUUAUCCAUUGGUCUUAGGCGCCAUCAUUCUUGGUGCAAAUCCAUGUAAAAGUU
rnacentral:tRNA from 1 species